rnacentral:rRNA from 1 species
AGUAAUACAUAAGUAACCUGCCCUAGACAGGGGAGUAACUAUUGGAACGAUAGCUAAGACCGCAUAGGUACGGACACUGCAUGGUGACCGUAUUAAAAGUGCCUCAAAGCACUGGUAGAGGAUGGACUUAUGGCGCAUUAGCUGGUUGGCGGGGUAACGGCCCACCAAGGCGACGAUGCGUAGCCGACCUGAGAGGGUGACCGGCCACACUGGGACUGAGACACGGCCCAG